GUUAUGUUCUAUGUAUGUUAAUUAGAAGCGUUCUCUUUUCAGAAAAAUGUAUCGAAGCAUUUUCUCUGGAACCUGAAACUCUUAUAAAGCUGCAAUCGAAAUACGCCAACAGUCGUCUCUACAGCGAAAUGACAAAACACUAGAUAUAUUUACAUUGCUGCUGCAGUAUUUUUUUUCAAUGAUGUAUCUGUGUGUAGCAAACCACAUUUAAGUGUUAAUAUCUUGAAUUCGUUACCAUGUUUAAACAGUAUUGUAGUGGCAUAUAGACACAAAAUCAUAAUAAGCUGUAUAACUUCACUUUUCAUAUAACAUCAAAUGUAGUUGCAUGUAAAAUUACGUUUACAAUAAUGACUGUGCUUCGUAAGCCUAUACGGCUGACUUAGAACUUAACUUUGCAUAACGUUUGUAUAUUAUGUAAUGUCUGUUCAUGUUGCAC
rnacentral:lncRNA from 1 species